UCAAGGAAUAGUUUAUGUAGAAUUCCAGCUUUGGGUGUUGGUGGUGAGGUUU
rnacentral:tRNA from 1 species